rnacentral:rRNA from 1 species
UACGUAGGGGGCUAGCGUUGUCCGGAUUUAUUGGGCGUAAAACGCGUGUAGGCGGUCAGGUAGGUCUGGUGUGAAAACUCGAGGCUUAACCUCGAGAUGUCAUCGGAAACCAUUUGGCUAGAGUCCGGAAGAGGAGAGUGGAAUUCCUGGUGUAGCGGUGAAAUGCGCAGAUAUCAGGAAGAACACCAAUGGCGAAAGCAGCUCUCUGGGACGGUACUGACGCUGAGACGCGAAAGCGUGGGGAGCGAACAGG